AUGAUCCUAGAGGAUGAAAGAGGUUUAAACCUCCCUUGUUUCUAUGACAAUGUUGGUACCCGUGUGCAACCGGAAAGAAAUCCUUCUCGCAUACACGCUUUUCUUCAAGCACAUCGUGAGAUUGAGGAUGCAACCACUCAUGGUCGGCUCCAGGAUGAUCUAAUAGAGCACCACUGGCAGUUGGAUGGCGGCGCAUUGGCCCAUGAUGUAUCUUUGUUUUACUUUUCUAUGUCCUAUUUGAUUCAAACAAUUAGUGUAAUUUGCUCAAACAUUGUUGUAAUAACUUGA
rnacentral:rRNA from 1 species